rnacentral:ncRNA from 1 species
AAAUUUUUAAGGUUUGUAUUAUACAAUUAAAAGGGAAGUUAAGUGCAAAGCUUACGCGGUCCCGCCACUGUAAAGAUGAUGAAAGCAAGAAUACCACUGAAUUAUUUUGGGAAGGCUUGUGAGUAGGAAGAAUCUGAGUCAGGAGACCUGCCUUAAAAACUU